rnacentral:lncRNA from 1 species
CGAAAUCAUAAAGACAUAAUAUCAAGGGUGAUAACCCUAAUUUAAAGACCGAAAUUCAUAACUCAUAUUUUUAGAUAUGAGUUAUGCAUGAUCAAUGGGAUUUACACACCAAAUACGCAGCUUUUUAUUAUCAUGAAACCAAAAUCAACUCCAUUGUCAAAGCAUCUUAUUUAAUAUAAUAUAACUCCAUGGCCUAUAUAAACUAACUUCUCAUGUUAAAAUUUUACUUACACUCCCUUCUCAUUUUCAUAUUCAUCAUUCAUCAUUUCUCUAAUCACAAGCAUGCCGACCAUGUGGUCUUUAGUAAAAAACUUGCAACCAAACAAUGCUAGAUCUGCAAUUAAAAUGAGACUUGUGCGUGCAUACAACCGCUCAUCUCAAAGCACCAACAAUGUUAUCAGCUAUGAAUGUAUUUUUCAUGAUCGUGAGGUAAAAAUUCUCAUCUCAAAGCACCAACAUUAUUAUGUUUAUCUAAUUUAGUUGUUUUUUUCAUAUAGGGUGACCGCAUCCAUGCUACACUUGAUCGCACGUUGAUCCCCAAGUUCAAACAUAUCUUGAAAGAAGAUUGUGUUUAUGCCGUAAAAAUUUUUUUGGUGAUGCAUGAUUCCCACAAAAAGUAUAGAACAACGACAAAUGUCUACUAUAUUAAAUUUAUUAAUAGUAGUCAUAUAGUUGAAAUUUGUGAAGAAGGUUUUCCACGCCAACUAUUCAACUUUAAAAGUUUUGAAGAAGUGGCCUCCAUUGAUAUUAUCAAUGACAAUAUGCUUUUUGGUAAUGUAUUUAUUUCAUUAUUUU